rnacentral:rRNA from 1 species
UACGGGGGGAGCAAGCGUUGUUCGGAAUUACUGGGCGUAAAGGGCUCGUAGGUGGCCAACUAAGUCAGACGUGAAAUCCCUCGGCUUAACCGGGGAACUGCAUCUGAUACUGGAUGGCUUGAGUUUGGGAGAGGGAUGCGGAAUUCCAGGUGUAGCGGUGAAAUGCGUAGAUAUCUGGAGGAACACCGGUGGCGAAGGCGGCAUCCUGGACCAACACUGACACUGAGGAGCGAAAGCCAGGGGAGCAAACGGG